GUUUCUGUGGUGUAGUGGUUAUCACGUUUGCUUUACACGCAAAAGGUCUCCGGUUCGAUCCCGGGCAGGAACAUUAAUUGUUUUUAUAUUUUUGCUGUUAUUAAAAGCUAAUGCACCAAAAUAUUUUCAUCAGCUAAUAACAGACAUAAGAUGUUUCUGUGGUGUAGUGGUUAUCACGUUUGCUUUACACGCAAAAGGUCUCCGGUUCGAUCCCGGGCAGGAACA
rnacentral:tRNA from 1 species